UCUUUACAUGUCUAGUCACCAGGCAGCGCUGUCACGCUUUCAGCCUUACUGAUGACGUCAUGAAGCGAUUCCUCGGGGCCCGCGAGACCAACACCUUCUAACAUACAGAAGGUGUUGGCGAGACGCACGUAUAUCCACUUAUCCAGUUGAAGGGGUUACGAGACAGGCGUCUUCUACAGCCACACAAAAGGCAACAUACCAAUACAGUUUUUUGGCCCUGUUUUCUGCGUUGAAACCUUAGUGAAAAGAGAAUGUACUCUUGGCCCGUUAGAUCAUAAAAAGGAGACUCCUCUUGCAGAUCAUCUGUUUAUACAUAAAGGUGGACCAUGUUAACCCAAAGAAGAAGAGAAAAGUUCUCAUGGACACACAAAAGAAAGGUUGUCCAGCAACAUUGGAUGUUAAGUGUGUCAGGGUAUUCCCCGAUUAUGCGAUAAACUCCGCAACAGACAGUUCAAAAAAAAGAGUACUCUGUGUUCUUGUGCCACAUUUAAAAGCAGCAUUCAGAUCAGCUUUUUUGGUUCUUUUGUAUUGCAUGGGAGCAAUGGACAAGCCACAAGCAAAAUUUACAAAAGAGUUGCAGUUGCAGAUCACCUUGGCAACAUCAAGGUGACACAGUUGUCUUCUCCCAGCAGCGAGAGGCAAUGUUGUGAUCAUUCCUCUGAACCUCCUUCUCUCGUGGAAAGUGUAAUUGACACACAAUGCAUACCCAGGUGCGGUAGUCCCUACUGUUACAAAUAAGGUUGCUGUGGCACAUUACCUGGUUGUGUAUCAUCAAGGACCGUAUCAGUCCAAGGGAAAAUAUAAUGAACACAAAUGAGUGAGUGCUCAGCUACAGUUUCAGACAAAUGGCUGAAUUUUCCGGGUUUUCUGUACAGUGAACAAAUUACCACAUGGAGACAGAAGUUGCUGCAGAAGUGGCCUUGGUGUUCAAGUAAGACAGAAAGGCAAAUUUCUGACUUUUUUUUUUUUUUUUUUAAGAUCAUGAUGCUAUUACAUCAUCCUCAGGAUAAGAUGUAGCUAGUGCACACAUUCUCAAAGUCUGUUAAUGUUUAUAGUGCUGUAAGUCAGGUUUAUAACCAGCCUAGCUAACUGCCUUUCAUCUUGUUCCUCUGAUGAAGUUGAGCUUCUGGGAUUGUCACUGCCUUGGUUUACUGCCUCCUCACUGCUGGUAUCCUCUGAACUUUGUAAUACAGGACUGGCAGAUUCAGACCAACUGCUGCUUGAGCCAAACCCAAAGGUCCCAUCGAGACAAAUUAAAGGGCUGUUCUUGUAACUGUCAUUCAACUUAUGAAAGUCCCAGCCAGGGUAAUAAAUGAAAAUUGUGCAGAAAUGUUUGCAUGGAAGUAUUCACAUGUGCAAUUAGGCUUUGCAGAAUUCACCACAUAGUAACAAUCCUUGGCCUCAGCACAUUCUACACAAAAUAAUCCCUCACCCAUUUCUCUCACUGAGCUUUCGGUAAGUCCAGUUUGCGCUGAAGAAUAUCUUUUCAUUACGUGAUUCACAAAUUUGUGUGACUUGUUAUGCAAGAAGUGAGGGAUCUCUCUGCUGUAAGAUUUCACAGCUGAAUUCUUCAGACAAUAUUUUUUAAACAGGCUAGGGAGGAAAUCAUUUAUUAAAACUUUAACAACACCUGUCAAUGUUUUAUCUGCUGAAUGUCUAAGAAAAAAAUGUUUCACUCUUUUAUUUAGUGAUUCAACACCAUUAGUAGUAGUUAUAUUGGCGAAGAAAUUCUCCUUGUCCUCAUAGGCCUUCACCCACCUUUCAGAUACUGAAAGCCAUUGCUUAUUAAAAUAAUCAUGUGCACCAGAAUUUCUAGUUAAUAAUUCAUGAGAUUGAAGUUUUGUUUUGCAGUUAAGAAUUGUUCUUCAGAUGGUGACUCUGGAACUUCUUCCCACAGCUUCAGAAUUUGCUCACUAUCUCCCGGUAUGUCUAAAUUGUUCUUUUUGCUAAGCCACCAUUGCCAGGCUUGCUUUCGAUGAAAUAAACAAAGAUAAACCCUUGACAUUGAAAAUGUUCCUUUAAUUGCCCGUAUCUCAGGCUCAGAGAAAUCUGUAACCCAUAAAACUGGAUUCCAAUCUGGGUUCCGUGCCUUGAAAAUUUCUAGAGCCUCUUUAAUUGAUGCAGUAUUUUCUGCUUGAAUGAAGAAUAUCCCAACUACUAAAUAGCAUACAUUAGCUCUCACUACCAAGAAAAAUAAUGAAAUGUGAUACUUCGUUGUCUUGUAUGUUGCAUCAAGCAAACAUACCCUAAACCCUACCAUACCUUUUCAAAAGUUCCCUUUGCCACUUGUGCUGGUAACAAAAAGCAAUGGUUGCACUUUUUCAUUGUCAUCUGUAAAUGGUCUGGAAAAAAUCUCUCAGCCUUUGAUUCCUUUUCCCACCCAUUAAUUUGAUUCCUUAAUGCAUCUUGGUCAAUAAUAGUUUUCUGCAAAUCAAACAGAGCCCGAUACAUAUGGCUAGAAAUUGUACUAUCUGUUGAGUAAAACAUUAUGUUCAUCCGAUCUGGUCUGUACCAGCAACACUAAAGUGCACAAACCCCGAAAGUGUUAACGAACAAACUUUAGUUACGUUUUAUUUGCAGCAAGUGUGUUUCUGUAUUGCAUCCUGGUCGCUCACUGAUUUCCUUACAACAAAUAAGCUCUGAGCACAUGGAUGUAAGUUGUUUAAUUUGUGUGGUAAAACAAUAUUUGAGAAAAGGUUUUUCAUUUAUAAAACAGUAUCAACUCAAAAAACUUAUGUACAUUGCUCAUAAUUUGUUGUGUAGUCAGAAUACAUAUGUUGCAAUGAAUAAAUUCAAUUAUGUAAUUAUCAUUUCCUUUGGCAAUGAAUCAUAUGAGCUAAACAUGACAUUAGAGGGAAUAGCAAUUUUCAAAUCAUAUUUUUCAGUGCAUACUCUUAUGUGUGCAUUGUUCCUUUAAGCUUACACACAAUCUGUUGUUCAAAAUGACUAGUUGUUAGUGUUUUUAAAAUGUUUAUACUAUUGUACAUGUCCAUGUAUUUUAUGUUUUGCAUUUAUGUAAGCAUGCAUGGAUUAUGUAUGUGAAUUGGACAUAUGAAGAAAUGUCAUUGUGUAAUUAUCCUUUUUGAGUGAAAA